ACUACUGUAAUGGUCCAGGUUAUAUAGUGACUCGGUACUGUAAUGGUCCAGGUUACAUAGUGACUCACUACUGUAAUGGUCCAGGUUACAUAGUGACUGACUGCUGUAAUGGUCCAGGUUACAUAGUGACUCACUACUGUAAUGGUCCAGGUUACAUAGUGACUGACUACUGUAAUGGUCCAGGUUACAUAGUGACUCACUACUGUAAUGGUCCAGGUUACAUAGUGACUCACUAGUGUAAUGGUCCAGGUUACAUAGUGACUCACUACUGUAAUGGUCCAGGUUACAUAGUGACUCACUACUGUAAUGGUCCAGGUUACAUAGUGACUCACUACUGUAAUGGUCCAGGUUACAUAGUGACUCACUACUGUAAUGGUCCAGGUUACAUAGUGACACACUACUGUAAUGGUCCAGGUUACAUAGUGACUCAGUGACUCACUACUGUAAUGGUCCAGGUUACAUAGUGACUCACUACUGUAAUGGUCCAGGUUACAUAGUGACUCACUACUGUAAUGGUCCAGGUUACAUAGUGACUCACUACUGUACUGGUCCAGGUUACAAAGUGGCUCUGUGACUCACUACUGUAAUGGUCCAGGUUAUAUAGUGACUCACUACUGUAAUGGUCCAGGUUACAUAGUGACUCACUACAGUAAUG